rnacentral:rRNA from 1 species
UACGGAGGGUCCAAGCGUUAUCCGGAAUCAUUGGGUUUAAAGGGUCCGUAGGCGGUUUUGUAAGUCAGUGGUGAAAGCCCAUCGCUCAACGGUGGAACGGCCAUUGAUACUGUAAAACUUGAAUUAUUGGGAAGUAACUAGAAUAUGUAGUGUAGCGGUGAAAUGCUUAGAUAUUACAUGGAAUACCAAUUGCGAAGGCAGGUUACUAUCAAUAUAUUGACGCUGAUGGACGAAAGCGUGGGGAGCGAACAGG